rnacentral:rRNA from 1 species
UACGGGGGGGGCAAGCGUUGUUCGGAAUUACUGGGCGUAAAGGGCUCGUAGGCGGCUGGCUACGUCAUACGUGAAAUCCCUCGGCUUAACCGGGGAACUGCGUCUGAUACUGUCUAGCUUGAAUCCGGGAGAGGGAUGCGGAAUUCCAGGUGUAGCGGUGAAAUGCGUAGAUAUCUGGAGGAACACCGGUGGCGAAGGCGGCAUCCUGGACCGGUAUUGACGCUGAGGAGCGAAAGCCAGGGGAGCAAACGGG